AGUGACAGAAGCUCUAUUUCUGGCUAGACAAGCGGCACUUGCUCAAGAGAAAAAUAAGAAUGAGACCCCAAUGACCUACAGUUGUGGUCUUUGUGGAAAAGGGUACAGAAGCUCUAAGGCUCAUGCUCAGCAUCUCAACUCACGAAACCACAUUAUGCGGGCUUCUCAAGGAAUGAGUAAUGAAGAGAAGGAGAAGGUAAUAAUUAAGCCAAUUCCGCUUCGUGAUGUAAAUAAGCCUCCUCCGAAAAGAGAAGCAAACAAUGAAGAAAGUGCAGAUAGUGAUGAUAAGUGGGAAGAGGUUGGUCCAGAUGAAGUAUCGGUUAGUGAGGCCACAAAUUCUCUGACCAAUUUGAAUGUUGGGUCUCCCGCUGAUGAUGACAUGGAGGAGGAUGACGAUGAUGGUGCCUUUGAGGAGUUUGAUCCAGCAUGUUGCUUCAUGUGUGAUCUUCCGCACGAUGCAAUUGAGAACUGCAUGGUUCACAUGCACAAGUAUCAUGGGUUCUUUAUUCCUGAUGUUGAGUAUUUGAAGGAUCCAAAAGGCCUGCUUACUUAUCUUGGUCUUAAGGUGAUUUUACAUAAAAUAAGGGAAUCCCUUACCUUAAUAAGAGACAAGCUAAAAGAUAAGAAAACACAGAUUUUGAAUACAUUACGGGAUAAAAUACAACGAAUGUUUUUUUUUUUUUUUUGCCCCCCUUUUAGCUUGUCCCUUACUUUAUUAAUGGAUUCCCUUAUUAUAAAAUUACUCCCAACUUGUAUUCUAUGUUUUUGCUUGAUUUUAUUAGCUCAGUUAAUCAAUUUACCGUAAGCAGCUGUUGCUUUCACUUACAUGCUCUGUCUUUUCAAUUUUUUUCAGGUUAAGAGGGAUUUCAUGUGUUUAUACUGCAAUGAUAGGUGCCAUCCUUUUAACAGCUUGGAAGCAGUUAGGAAGCAUAUGGAAGCAAAACGUCAUUGCAAAAUACAUUUCGGCGAUGGUGAUGACGAGGAGGAGGCCGAGUUAGAAGAGUUCUAUGACUAUAGCAGCAGGUCAUUUGUCUUCAAAGUUCAUCUUUCUUUUUUGUUUCUUAUUUCCUAAUUUGAUUUAUUUACUUUUCAACAAAAUAACAAAAUUCUUUUGUUCUGACAGUUACAUGGAUGAGGAUGGGAAACAGCUGAUCUCAUCCAGUGACAUGGCCAACACUGUAGAGCUUGGUGGUGGGUCUGAGCUUAUCAUAACUAGGAGAACAGAUAAAGGAACAUCGACUAAAACGUUCGGCUCCCGGGAAUAUCUGCGGUAUUAUCGCCAGAAACCCCGCCCGUCACCGGCAAAUAAUGUGGCCAUUACAGCUGCGCUGGCCUCAAGGUGUGUUUUUAAUCUUUCUCAACUUGCCCUUCUAUUAAGAAGGGCGACCUGGGAAUCCCCUCUCCUUACUUAACAUGGCAUCCUGUAUUUUUCAGGUACAAGAGCAUGGGAUUAGCAACCGUGCAAACAAGAGAGCACAUGGUGAGGAUGAAGGUAAUCAAGGAGAUGAAUAGAACGGGAGUGGAGGCGAUGCGCACAAGGGUCGGCAUGAAGAAUAAUAUCAUCCGAAACCUCCCCAAGAAUGUCCCAUAUUAGUCCUAGACUUUGAUUUCUUGUUGAAUCAGCAGUUUAAGUGAACUUUUAAAUUUAAACAAAAAAGAAAAAAAAUUCUCAGAUAUGGUAUGGUUUUCAGUGUAAGCGCUUAUUAUUAAUUUUAUUAUGACUGUCUGGUCUACAGAUUUGUUAGUAAAACAUUGACAUGCUUCAGUUGUUUCAUGAAAGAAUUUUCAGUUUGUUUCUUCUGGCCAUCCUCCAUUGGCCCUUUCUCUUUACUUGUUAGAAUGAUUCAUUACGAUCGAGACUUUGUAGACCUCUAUUGUCUUGAGGAUGGUUAUGCUAAAUUCUCCUUUAGCUUGGUUUGCCACGGUUGAUGUUGCACGUACACUGGAGCUCCGUUUCUAUUUCUUGGAAACCGGUCAGGCAUUGUUGGAUAUUUACAUUACAUUAUACCUAUGCUUUGCCCAUUUUGAAAUGACAUUUACCGCUCUCUGUCAUUGUCCACGAAUCUUCUUGGUUACGCAAGUGUUCACCUAGUCUUCACAGAACCUUCAUCUUUUCUCAUUCUUUGUUCUCAUCUCUGAGACUCCGACCAUCUCUUCCUCUGCUAUUAUAUUUUUGCUGUAGACACUGUAAAUUUGAAAGGGUAACUUUUAAUUUAUCCCAUAUUCUAUGUAGAAUCACAAUUUUUAAUUUUUCUCUCAAAAGUACAAAAAUAUAAAUUUACCUUGAUUACUGUUUGGAAGAUGAAAAAAUAAUUCAACUUGCCCUUAUUUGCCAUGUUCUGAAUAAAAUAGAUGAUAAACUUAAGAUUGUCAUUAUAUUUAUGGAUUGAAUUGAAGUUUACCCAAAUUGAAAAUUUGUUUUGUUUUUCUAUGUUUUUAGUGUAAUGAGUGUCAUGCAACAGUACAUGAACCACCAGAGCUGCCAUAAAUCUUUGCUAGUUCUUGUAUCUUACUGAAUGUAUUCAUUUUCAUCAUCAUCAAAAAGAUUCUUAAAAGUUAAAAUAUAGCUCAAUGCAGCAUAGAAUCCAAAUUCAACAAAGAAGAUCCCAUUGUUGAAUGAUAAAAUAGUCAGGAGGUUUAAGUUUCACAAAUUUGAAACCCAAAUUCAGUGGCGAAGUCAGGAUUUUAAUUUGGGGAUUAUCAAAAUAUAUUGCAAGUUCGUAUUUAAAGAAGAUUGGGGGUUGUCUUGAAAAAUAAGUUAGGGGACAGUUUAAAAACUUCUUAAUCUUUACCUUAUUUCUUAAAAAAUUUUAAAAGCUUGGUGGUUGCCUUGGCAACCCUAGGCGUGAACAUAGUUCCACCCCUGCCUAAAAUCCUGCAUCAGUCAGUAGUAGUAGGCGGCCUCCAGUGUUCGUAGCCUGUGGUUGAUAGAAAAUAAACCUGGUUGAAGAAAGAGUCAUCUUUUCUUUUGUCACAUUCUUGUACAAUCUUUUCUUAUGUCACGAUAACAUAAAGAGAGAAUGGUAAGAAAUAACCUGAGACUCAGACCAUGAUAAAACUAACUAUUUUAAUAGAAAGUUCUGUCUGUUGACUCUCUCAUGUUGUCACGCAUCUCAUCACUCAGAAAAUUAUUAAUUGCUUAUUUCCCUUUCUUCUUUGGCACUUCAUAUUUCUAAUUUGUUUUGCAACCACAAAAACGAAAUAAAUUGGGAUACCUACAUCUUAUGCGUGCUGACUUUGAAUGAUUCAUAACAAAAGAUGAUCAAGACACCUAUUAUUAUUAAUAAUUUUUCGAAUGUCAUUAAUUUUCCACCAUAUGUCAUUCUCGAUGAAGCUUAUUGGUUAUUCAUUUCCUCUGUGCCUUGGCUGAAACUUCAUGUGCAUUAUUUCAUACAACUUUAGCGGGACAUACUGAUCACCAAGUUGUGAAGAACCCAAGAACAAGUCUUUGGGUAGAAGCAAAAACGCAAUCAAAGUUUAAGUAAUAAAAUGUCAAUGUGAUGUAUAUCUCAUCAAAUUAAUCGGUUGUUAAAUGUAUACCAUCUACAAGUAGUUGACUGAAAAUUUAUUGUUUUAAAUUUCGAAUGUUAGAUUAUAUAAGAUAUAAAAACUAAAUGCCUAAUUAUUCUAGUAUAAUAUAUGCACAUUUCUUUUGACAAUUUGGCAAUUUGUAUUAUAAAGAUAAAAUAGUUAAAUUAAAUUAUGUUAAAUUAACCUCAACGAUCAAAGAUGAUCAACAAACCUAACAAAGGAAUGACUUAAUUGAUUAAUUAUUUAAACUAUCUCUCUAUUAUAAUUUUUUUUAAAAAGAACAAAAUUAUGUAAUUUUGUUUCUCUAUUAGUGACUAACUAAGAAAAUUUAUUUAACUAAACACAUAUACCACAAUUAUAUAAAUUUAAACUCUAUUUGUGUAUCAUAAUAGAUUUCACAGUAAACUCGAUUUAAGAUAACUUCAAUCACAUGACCAAGUCUUAAUUAUGCAUGUUGACUCUGGUAAAAUUAAUGAAGAUGACUUGAUACCAAUAAGCGCGUAGAUCAACUGGCAUGAUUUUUGGUUUGAGACUUAAGAAUGCAGCUGCGUUAAAUACUUGCUGGGAGAGCUUUGCCGCUCUAGUGGUCAUACUCGGCUUGAAUCUGAAUUAGUCAGGGCCCAAUAUAAUUUUCGGAUAUCAAAUGAUUUAAUACACCAAAAAAUAAUGAAGAUGACUUGAUGUAUACAGAUAUCAUAAAAAUUUCCUCCAGUUUCCACUGUAUGUAACUCUCAAAGCGGUUUCUUAAUUGGUUAUUUCAAAUGUCCUUUUAGUCUCCAUUGAACCAUCGUAUCUAUCUUGCUUAUUCUCAUCUCUGGCCAACUUUCCACCUCCAAUUAACAAAAUGUCUGUAAAGUAUUUCGUGCAACUUUUAGAGUUGUGAAGAGGAAGAAGUCGAUCUACAAAUUUUUGGAUAGACGCGGAAGCAAAAAGGCAAUCAAAGUUAGUAUUAUUUCAAAUACAGUUUUCUUUUUCAUUUUUUUUUUCCUUUAACUUCUCGUUUAGCUUUCAUAAAGCUGCUAGACCUGACCUCAGCUGCCACUAAUCUUUGCUUUUGAAUGUUCUUGUAUCUUACAGAAUGUCAGCAAACGGGAUACCAGACAGGCCAUCAGAAAACGGGCUACCAGACGGGCCAUCGGACGGGCCACCACCAUUAUGUACGUCAUUAAAGAUGAGCGCCCCCCCCACCCCCCCUCCCAAAAAAACAAAAAAAAAACCAACCCGGCGACACUCCCCAACGAUUUUAACGAAGUAGAUUUUAGUUUCAUGCAUAUUUCAAGAAUACUUAUGAUGUAUUACAACUAAUUGAUGUAUGCAUGCUAUCCGUAUUUGAAUUUAAUAUAACCACAACUUGCAUGAUGGUUUUUCAAAUUAAAUACACACACGUUAUAACAUUAUUUGAUUAUUAUAUGACUGAUAUGAUACUUCUGAUUUGUUUUAAAAUUUCUAUCAUAUUUGAGGUUGUGCUCAUGCAGACAGAGGGCUGUGAUUAGUGGUAUUUAUGCACACAUGAUAGCAAAAGACAUUUGAAAGCUAAGCACAUAUAUAUCAACACAGGAUCGAAACUCAACAAACAAUAUAUUGUUGAAUGGUGCAAUAAUCGAAUUUUGAUGUUGUACUGAUCUAGGCUGUGCUGAGCAUUUAAAGUUCUUACACCGUGUGUACAACAAUAUGUUAAGCUUAACAUUAAAUGCUGUGCCAAGCAAUUAAAUUUAUUCAAUAACCAUCAAUGACAGCUCCUACAUUAUUUCACUAAUCUGAAACGCUUUUAUUAACUUGCAGUCAUAGCAGCCAUGUCGGUAAUAUUUGGACUUAUAGUAAUUAUAGUAGUAUCUUAUAUCAUCCGAUAUUUUUGGGAAAAGCUAAAUCGUACGGAAACAGAAACCCGAAAUGCUGCAUCUGCUAAUAAGCCUGAAGAGGACGUGGUUGAAGUAAUAUGGGAAGCUGGUCAAACAAUGGAGAGAUUCCUUCAAGAAAUCGGAAGGGAGAAGCCGGUCAGGUUUACUUCUCUCCAGCUCAAUAAGUUUACGAGCAAUUAUUCAACUCGGUUAGGAUUUGGAGGUUUUGGAGAAGUCUAUAAAGGACAAUUUCCUAAUGGUGUGAAAAUUGCAGUGAAGGUUCUUAAUAGGAACCUCGGCAGAAUUGCUGAAGAGCAAUUCAUGGCUGAAGUGGGAACUAUUGGAAGAACUUAUCAUAUAAAUUUGGUUAGGCUUUAUGGUUUUUGCCACGACCAACACAUGACUGCACUUGUUUAUGAGUACAUGGAAAAUGGUUCACUUGAUGGGUAUCUGUUUGGCAAGAAACGAGCAAUAGAAUGGGAGAAGUUGCACGAAAUCGCUAUAGGGACAGCGAAGGGUUUAGUUUACUUGCACGAAGAAUGCCAACAGAGAAUCAUUCAUUACGAUAUAAAGCCCGAAAAUGUUCUCUUAGAUGCAAACUUCUCUCCUAAGGUAGCAGAUUUCGGGCUUGCAAAGCUUUGUGAUAGGAACAAGACUCAUGUUACAAUAAGUGGAUAUAAGGGCACUCCUGGCUACUCUGCACCAGAAUUUUUAUCAGGGAAUUACCCUAUUACACAUAAAUGUGAUGUCUAUAGCUUUGGAAUGGUGUUGUUUGAGAUUGUUGGAAGGAGAAGAAAUGCAAUUGUUGGAGCCUCCGAGAGCCUUGAUUGGUUUCCAAAACAUGUGUGGGAUGAAUAUGAGAAAUGUGAAUUGGGUGCAAUGAUACUGGGAUGUGGGAUUGAAGAGAAAGACAAAGAAAAAGCAAAAAGAUUGUGCAUGGUGGCUUUGUGGUGUGUGCAAGACUCUCCCGAAGAUAGGCCUCCAAUGAGUGCCGUGGUCAAGAUGCUGGAGGGAGUAGUGGAAGUUUUACCGCCACCAAAACCAUUUCGCUAUUUGGACUUAAUCAAGACGACGAGGUUGAAGUCACUUGAAUCUAGUGAUGGUUUAAAUUCCUCUAAUCAGUCUCGCUGGUACAAGGAGACCACUCCAAUAAUGGCCAAGCAUGAUACAGCAUAGCUACUUGCUGAUAACAACUAAGCUUGUGCCUUGUGUUCUCCAUUCCUUGAAUUUUCCAAUACUUGUAUUUUUUUUUUUUUCAUUCAGUUUGUAAGCUAGUGCCUUGUGUUUUUCUUGUAUCCUUAGUUUUGUCUGUCAUUGUAAGUUGUAACUAAACAGUAUCAGAACCAUAAUUAGCAAUGUCUUUGAAAAUGGGAAAAGCAUUAACAAGGCGACUUUUGCUGCUGCAGCAUCUAAGCUCUCAAAAGCCAGGAUCCAGGGUCCUUGAAUUAAUUUCCCGAUUUCUCCAAUCGUCUUGUCCUCAGAAUGCCAGCAAUCCUUCCUCAAAUUUGGAACACGGGGUCACCAUCACAAACUGGCGGGCGCUCUUGGUAACCUCUUACACUUGUUAGAGAAAAGGAGAGCCUAAUUUCGCAGCUGAUUUAAUUUUACAUAAUUUGCAGUUACAAUUCUGGUACUGGUCAUCUUAGCAAUAAUAGGCGCUGUAGCUUACUGUUUGGCAAAACUAGUAAGUUCAAUAAAUGUGAACCUACAGUUCCUGAAGCAUCCUUGAAAACCGUCCAAGAUUUGAAGGAUGGUGAGCAGACAAUGGAGAAAUUCCUACGAGAUAUUCCUCUUUUCACUAGCGAGCCGUGGUGUGUUUUAUUUAUAAAAAUAAAAGUUGUGCGUCGUAAAAUCGAAUCGCCAAGGAGAUUUUAUUUUUAUUUCUAUUUUAAUGCUGCACUUUUUUUUUUUCUUCUAAAGUUAUGAUGUUUGAGCUACUCUAGCUUAGAAAUUGCCCAAAAAAAAAAAAUUCUCUUUUUUCAAUGCCGGAGGCUCUCUCCAAGUUUUUGUGUGGUUUGUUUGUAAUUGGAGUAGAGUCUUUUAGGGGUUAAGGAAUAUAUUUUUCCUGUACCAAGACAAUAUCAAAUUUUGGGUUUUUGGGGAGGAGAUUGUUGAGGUUUAUUUUUUUCCUCAAAUUUUUCUAGAAUAUCAUUAUUUUGUUUAAUAAUUUUCACUCCUUCCUACCGUAACAUAACCUUGACAUACUUGUCGAUUUAGGUAAUUGUAAGUUCUUUUUAAGAAGCUGAAACUGACAACCAAAACAAUCAUAAAGUAACCUUAAGAAACUUGUUUGCAGACAGUUUACUUGCUAUACCAAGUGGUCAUUGUUGUUUAAUCACUACAUUUGGUACCCUGCAUUAAAUCUGUUUUAAUUUUUAUGAUGGUUUGGAGCUCUUCAAGAAAAUGAAUUUUUAGUUGAUGCGCUUGAAUAAUGUGGAAAAAUAUCAUUUUUCUGCUCCUCCCUAUAAAACAGGUGGCUGGGGUUCCCGGAGUGACAGAAGCUCUAUUUCUGGCUAGACAAGCGGCACUUGCUCAAGAGAAAAAUAAGAAUGAGACCCAAAUGACGUACAGUUGUGGUCUUUGUGGUAAAGGGUACAGAAGCUCUAAGGCUCUUGCUCAGCAUCUCAACUCACGAAGCCACAUUAUGCGGGCUGCUCAAGGAACGAGUAAUGAAGAGAAGGAGAAGGUAAUAAUUA
rnacentral:lncRNA from 1 species